AAUAUAAACAUUUCUUUUGCAGAAGUCAUUGGUUGGUCUGAAAUUUGACAAACGUGUCAAGGUGUAACAUUCGUGAUGUAACAUUCGUUACCGAGAAAUUAAUUAAAGGGAAUGAUAGAACAAUUUCCAGCGUAUUUUUGCUCUCUCUCUCUGCAUGAUGUGGUAUACGACAUGAACGUCUACUAUGAACAUUUGAGUUUGAAAGUCAAUACGUGUUAAACUUUGAGAAUUAGGAUUAAUUUUCUCUUACGAAAUGGCGCUUGUGAGAGUAGAAGUACAGAAUAACUACCAUGAAAAAAAAUGUAUUAAAACAUAAGAACAACCAUGAAAAAAUGUUUUAGAAAUAAUAUUAUAUGCUCCCCUUGUGGCAAUACUGAAAAGGUAGAAUGUCUGUAUAGACAGUGAAAAUAAAGGUUUAACUACCGGUCAAAGGCUACCAUAAUGUUACAUGUAAGUUUUGUCUCUCAAAAUACUUAUAAGCAACUGGUCAUUUGAGUAAUUUUGUAUGACCUUUGACUUUGUGACUUGGAAUCCAAUGGGGGUCAUCUAUUCAUAAGGGGCACCAGUGUUUCAAGUUUGAUGUCUAUCAAGGAAAGAUUUCUCAACGGACAAUAGCGUAUGUCCAGAGUAGUUUAACCGUUGUCCUUUUGACCUCAAAAUUAAUAGGGGACAUCGUUAAAUAUUCAU